rnacentral:misc_RNA from 1 species
GAUGAAGAACGUAGCAAAAUGCGAUAAGUAAUGUGAAUUGCAGAAUUCAGUGAAUCAUCGAAUCUUUGAACGCACAUUGCGCCCGCUGGUAUUCCGGCGGGCAUGCCUGUUCGAGCGUCAUUUCAACCCUCAAGCCCCCCGGGUUUGGUGUUGGGGAUCGGCUCUGCCUCACGGCGGUGCCGCCCCCGAAAUACAUUGGCGGUCUCGCUGCAGCCUCCAUUGCGUAGUAGCUAACACCUCGCAACUGGAACGCGGCGCGGCCAUGCCGUAAAACCCCAACUUCUGAAUGUUGACCUCGGAUCAGGUAGGAAUACCCGCUGAACUUAAGCAUAUCAAUAAGCGGAGGA